AUUAUUACCAAGAAAGCACCAUGACCAUUACUGUGCCAUGUAAAUGUUACCCCGAAAUCUCAUCACACCACCGCUAUAUAUACACAGAAUUCGGAAUUUUAUAUAUAAGAUACUAUAGCUAACUACUUUAAUAGGCACUAGUCAGUCUCUUGAUUAAUAGUAGCAUUCAGCAAAAUUAAAUGUCGAAGAACUCCCAGUCAUCAUCCGCAGGCUCAUUGCCAGUUUUAUAUAGAAGCUCCUCAUCAGUUUAAACCCUCAGUUAUUUGGUUUAAAGCAGAGGAGAGAUAUCAGUUAUUUGGUCAUACCUGGCUUUCAGUGACUUCACAUCUUGCAUAUAACUGAUAUCUCUCCUCUGCUUUCAGUGAGUUCGGGGCUAUUUUGGUUUAGCCCCGAACUCAGAAAGCGUAACAUUUGACUCAGUUAACAUUGUGAUAUGGAGUGGACCAGUAACAAGAGUCCAUGUUUAGGUGUCUUUACAUAUUUCUGAUUUGCUGUGGGCAUUAUACAUGGUUAUAUUAUAUUCUUACUAGCGGACCGAGUAUUCAGAAGUAUGUUAAUCUUGGUGUAGAGUUAAUCAGUCAUGGAGGUUCUCCCAGUUCCACGCUAGCUGCAUUCUCUGUACCAAUUACCAGGUUCUCUAGACUAUAGAGAACACCUAGGUCCUUCAUCCUCCUUCGGAGUAGGUUCGAGUUCUAUUCUGAAUUCAUUUAACCAGACUCGACUCUGUAGGAUGUCAGAAGCAAAAAAUGUGUGUUCACGAACAAUUUAAGAUCGAGUUCUUGUUAGCGAACAAGCCCGGACAGAACCAGUAGGUCUGGUGUGUCCAUCAUUCUCAGAUAUGAAAUGGUUUCUCCGAGUUUAAAAACUCGUAGUCCUGUGCAGAGUCCUUCAGAACCUACUGCAGAAAUUUCUCACACAUGCAAAUACAAAUACCCAUUAGGUAAAGAUGGCAGAUCUGAACUCUGUAGAUAUAUUUAUUUUAUAGUUCCAUCAACGAGGCGGCUGGGAGAAAGAAAACAAACGAAAAAAAAAAAUAUUUGUACAAAAUAUGAUUUCAUGGACAUCCUAAACAACCUAAACAGGAACACUAUUUUGACAAAAAUAGAUAUCUAAACAAAUUAUGAUUUCAUGGACUUAAUAUAAUACAGUAAUUAUUUUUUUUGUUCGAUCCUAUUAAGCCCUGCAAACACGUGAAUGUAAUAUAAAACAAUUACUAUUAUGUGUUUGUCUUGCCUAGGGGCUUAGGGUCUAUCUGGGCGCCGUUACAAACUGCUGGAAAAGUGCCGGUAAAAAAAGGUGUUGUUGUAAAAAUAAAAUAAUUGUUUCGUAAUGGUAAACAAAAAAUAAUAAUAAUUGUUUGGUAAUUUUUUUUAUAUGUGCUUAUUUUGAGUUAUAAUAUAAAAAAAUAAUGUUUUUAUUGAGAUUUGAUAGUGAAAUCUGUAAAAGCUUCCUACAAAAGCUAAAAGCAGUUUUUUUCAAAAAUAUGGGAGGACCGCUUUUUCUAAAACCAGUUUUUCAGUCAAAAGCUACUGUUCUAGAAAGACAGAACAUCUCAAAUGGGUUUUCUAAAUUAUUUUUUAAAAUCUACUGUUCAAGCCAUGUCAAGCGAGCCUGAACAUAUACAAAUACCCGUAGGUCAAGAUGCAGAAAUGAACUCUGAACAUAUAUUUAUUCUGGAGCAUUGUAUAAGCGCAGUUCAAGUAUUGAGGGUUAACUAAAAGCAGCACGUGCUCAAACAUAAUGGAGACGGAAAUAGUCGUCCCUGCUGAUCAUGUAAGUCGUCUGACAUUACUAUUAACAGAAUGUUUAAUCAUCGGGUUUUUCUUGUUACGUUGUAUUAUACAACUUUUUGUUUGGUGUGUGUCUAUGAGCACGUAUAUUUAUUUUGUUUUGAUUGAUGUGGGAUGUGUCUUUCAGUACCAAUUAUUUCUUCUAUAUAAUUUUUUUUGGAUGUUCAUUCAAUUCUUUAUAUUUCAAAAUUUAUCAAAAAAAGUCAAUGAUUCUUACCAUUUCCCCACUUUUCCAUAAUUCCCAUUUUUCCAUUUUUCACGCUAUUUUUCUUAACCUCCAUGUCCGUACCCAAACCAUAUGUAACCUUUGUGCCCGUGCCCACACCAUAUGUAAACAAAUGGCUGGGACUGAGGGAGUCGGAGUCAAUCAAAAUAAGUUAAAUACGUGCUUUGCAUGUGUCACAGAAAAACCAUAUUAUUAAAACUGAAAUAUGCAAGGUACUCAUUUGAAAUUUUUUCGCUUUUCAGAGGGGAAGAAGAUCUUCAGAAAGAGUACGUCCACUUAAAGUUGAAUUCGAACAAGAAAGUGUUAUCAUUACAGCAAUGGAUGAUAUUUUCAAUCUCAAUUCAGUGCUGACAUUUGCGGUGUUCGUUGGAUUGUCUCAGGCUUCUCCAGGCGCCCGCAGCCUGGAGAAUCGCGAUGACUGUAACGCUGGUCCAGGAGUAGCUAAAAUGCUGAUUGUGUACGAGGUUUUGGCCUUCUCUUUUUUCCUUUUCUCAAGCCUUUUCGCAAAAUUACUUAAGCUAAACUUACGCCUGCAAAGCCGAAGAUUUAGCUUCGUCAGAGCUCCAGCUUUCAGUUUGAAGGACUAUAUGUGGAUCUUGACAGCAAUGACAUCUGUGAUUGGAAUCGUUUUGCUUAUGCUUUCGGUAGUGAAUUUAGUUCAACUUCAAAUCGGAUUGUAUUCUUGUGGGAGUAUUGAAGCAAGGAUAGCCAUUUGGGGUGUCUGUACAAUUGUUGGUAGUGCUUUGAUAACUUAUGUGCUGUCUGUGUGUGUAGGUAUUGCUGUACUCUAUGCUGAGAAUACAGAAGAAUUUGGAUACGUUUAAUUUGCUAAGUUUUAUUUCUUGUUGUAUUUAUUUAUUAGCUUGUUGUAUGUACUUUGUAUUUUAGGACUCUAUGUAAACUCAUAUGUAAUGAAAUACAAAAACUAUAUUGAAACAAAAUCAUAAAACACUUCUCUCCAUUAACUCCGAUGGUCUCAUUUUAUUUGAACCACUUUCUUUUCUUGGAUGUCCCUAAAAAAAUGAACGUUCCAUUUGUUUGCAUUGAUUAGUUCACAGAACAUGGGUAAACACAACUAAACAUAACUGGAUCAAAUACCAACAUUUUAAACGAACAAACAUCAUAAAAUAUCGGCUAAAUUAUAGAUUAAAACAUCAUAAACUUAUGAACUUUUUCAUGUUAACUCUGCGACAAGCAUGUAUGAUAAGAAAGCAAGGGCAUCAGGGAUACCAUUGAACUCAGAGGUUACAAGGGUUGUUGCAAGUUCAUUACAAUUUUUGGGAACAUGUAUUGACAACACAUGAGUUGCGGUCCUCACUUAUGAUGCCAUUGAUCAGCAUCACAAGAUCAGCAAGCCGAAAAUCAGAGUCGGGGUUGUUCACUUCCUCCACAGUCCUCUUACAAUCCGAAUGUCAUCUUGAGUCCAUAAAAAAUGGACCACAACUCUGCAGCCAAUAGGACAAGCAAACUUAUCAACCUUGCAUUGCCCCUUACCCAUCGUCCCCUGUGGUUCCUCAUCACAGACCCAACUGAAGCCUUCAUAAUCACAUAAUCAAUUCUAACAUUGAUAUCUCAUCAGCAUCACAAUUAUUAACAUAUCUAUAGCUGCCUCCAACACAGGCUCCAGAACUUGGACUAAACUCACCCCGUCGUGUAUCUUCACAGUGAAAAGAUCACUCCAUUCACAAUGUUUGAAAGAGAAACAAACACACCAAAUCUCUAUACAAUGCAAGAAAGUACUAAACUUAACCUUCACAUUUUAUGAACUGGCAUGGUGAGUUGUGUAAACUUCUUACACUCUAUUUGGUUGGUAUGAAUGGAAUCAGUUUAGCCCAAAAUGGAAUGGGCCAUUCCAUUCCAAAAAUAAAAAUUCUGUUUGGUUGGCCCAAGGAAUGGAAUAGCUCAUUCUUUUAUUCAUUCCAAUCCAUUGACUAAUCAGACAAUCGAUUCAUUUUUGAAAGUGCGGGUUAAGCCCAUUCCAUUCACGCUUCCCGCCUCUCUCACGCAGCUCUCUAUCCGCCUCUCUCGCAUCUCUCUCCGCUAGGGGUAGCAUUUUGGGGUAAGGGGUCGUGUUCGUGUCACUCAUCGGGUCAAUUCCGAGUCGAUUUCGAGUCAAGCUAAAAUCACUUAAAAUUGAAUAAAACUGAAAAUUGAAGCUAUUAGAAACGAAAUUCUAAUUUCGGGUCAUUUCGGGUCCAUUUCGUGUCAAACAGGUGAUUUUCAUGUCACUUUCGGGUUUUGUCUCAGUAAAUCGGAUUGCGGGUUCGGGUCGGGUUCAGGUCGUUCUGAUAUUGCUAGCCCUACUCUCCGCCUCUCUCUCUUCCUUGUAGUCUAGGUGAGAUAUCGCGAUGAAAACAUUACAUUGAGGCGUGAUGCUGCCAUUUUGGACAGAGAUUCGCCCAGCAGCAGACAAGUAGAGGCAAGGGCCUGACAAUAGCGAGACAAAGGUGCUGGCCUGAUCUGUUUUUUGACAGUAAGUUGCAGACUACUGAACAGAGGUGCGAAGCUUUCGCUUUCUAGGAAAAUUUGAUUGUAGACUACAGGGACGGAUCUAGGAAUAGGUACGGGGACACGUGUCCUCCCCUAAAUUAUUUUUUUUACAAUUUUUUACCAUUCAAAAAUUUGCAAAAUCAUAGAAAUGCCCCCACAAAAUUUAUAAAAUACAUAGGUGUUUUUUGAAAAUUUGCAUCCUGCCCCUUGCAGGCUACCAAAAUCUGCAGACAGAAGUGCAUACCUGUGCUUUCUAGUUUAUCAGAAAUGACGAUAGUCGAUUUAUAUAAAUUACUCAGCACCCUAUUCAGAGUAAUCUAAAAUUAAACUCACAUGUGACAAGUACAAAUCGAUAAAGUCAAGGCAUCGUAUAAUAAUUACAGAAGAGGUAGUGGUCAGAUAAAGAAAAGAGGAUAAAAAUAGGCACUAAUUUACCCUGGCUCUUGAACAAAACAGCAAGUCAGCAACAAAGCUAUGCUUCUUCAUAAAAUAAACAGAAUGAGGGCACUUAUUAUUUAUACAAAGCCUCAAUUAGUCCAUUAUUACCAAGAAAGCACCAUGACCAUAAAUGUGCCAUGUAAAUGUUACCCCGAAAUCUCAUCACACCACCACUAUAUAUACACAGAAUUCGGAAUUUUAUAUAUAAGAUACUAUAGCUAACUACUUUAAUAGGCACUAGUCAGUCUCUUGAUUAAUAGUAGCAAUCAGCAAAAUUAAAUGUCGAAGAACACCCAGUCAUCAUCCACAGGCUCAUUGCCAGUACCUAUGAUUUCAUUUUUAUAUAGAAGCUCAUCAUCAGUUAUAUUUGAUGAACUCGCCU
rnacentral:lncRNA from 1 species